UGCAGUCGAGCGAGAAGGGGUGGCAACACCCUGAGUAAAGCGGCGGACGGGUGAGUAACGCGUGGGUAAUCUACCCUCUAGUCUGGGAUAACCUUCCGAAAGGGGGGCUAAUACCGGAUCAUGUCCCUUUGGGGCAUCACAAGGGGAGCAAAGGGGGCGCCCGCAAGGGGCUCUCGCUGGAGGAGGAGCCUGCGUCCGAUUAGCUAGUUGGUGGGGUAAUGGCCCACCAAGGCGACGAUCGGUAGCCGGCCUGAGAGGGCGAUCGGCCACACUGGGACUGAGAUACGGCCCAGACUCCUACGGGAGGCAGCAGUGGGGAAUCUUGCGCAAUGGGCGAAAGCCUGACGCAGCGACGCCGCGUGGGGGACGAAGGCCUUCGGGUUGUAAACCCCUGUCAGGCGGAACGAAUCCCCCGAGGACGAAUACUCCUCGGGGUUGACGGUACCGCCAGAGGAAGCCCCGGCUAACUACGUGCCAGCAGCCGCGGUAAUACGUAGGGGGCUAGCGUUGCUCGGAUUUACUGGGCGUAAAGAGCGCGUAGGCGGCCAGGUAAGUCUGAUGUGAAAGCCCUCGGCUCAACCGAGGAUCCGCAUUGGAAACUACCUGGCUUGAGGCCAGGAGGGGAGGGUGGAAUUCCCGGUGUAGCGGUGAAAUGCGUAGAGAUCGGGAGGAACACCUGUGGCGAAGGCGGCCCUCUGGAAUGGUACUGACGCUGA
rnacentral:rRNA from 1 species